ACGAUGAACCACCUUCGGGUGGGGAUUAGUGGCGAACGGGUGAGUAACACGUGGGCAAUCUGCCCUGCACUCUGGGACAAGCCCUGGAAACGGGGUCUAAUACCGGAUACUGACCCUCGCAGGCAUCUGCGAGGUUCGAAAGCUCCGGCGGUGCAGGAUGAGCCCGCGGCCUAUCAGCUAGUUGGUGAGGUAAUGGCUCACCAAGGCGACGACGGGUAGCCGGCCUGAGAGGGCGACCGGCCACACUGGGACUGAGACACGGCCCAGACUCCUACGGGAGGCAGCAGUGGGGAAUAUUGCACAAUGGGCGAAAGCCUGAUGCAGCGACGCCGCGUGAGGGAUGACGGCCUUCGGGUUGUAAACCUCUUUCAGCAGGGAAGAAGCGAAAGUGACGGUACCUGCAGAAGAAGCGCCGGCUAACUACGUGCCAGCAGCCGCGGUAAUACGUAGGGCGCAAGCGUUGUCCGGAAUUAUUGGGCGUAAAGAGCUCGUAGGCGGCUUGUCACGUCGGUUGUGAAAGCCCGGGGCUUAACCCCGGGUCUGCAGUCGAUACGGGCAGGCUAGAGUUCGGUAGGGGAGAUCGGAAUUCCUGGUGUA
rnacentral:rRNA from 1 species